ensembl:rRNA 5S_rRNA 5S ribosomal RNA
UGCUACAGCCAUGCUACCCUGAAUGCGCCCGAUCUCGUCUGAUCUUGGAAGCUAAGAAGGGUCGGGCUUGGUUAGUAUUUGGAUGGGAGAUCGCCUGGGAAUACCGGGUGCUAUAGGCU